rnacentral:rRNA from 1 species
AAGGUCCGUUGGUGAACCAGCGGAGGGAUCAUUACCGAG